UACUCCCUAAAGAGCAGGAAAUCUUUUAGGGCUUAUUUAAUUAUUGAGGGGGCGGGAGUUGCAGGGUGGAGAAGCCAGAAGUGGAGAAGAUAACGGUCGAGAAUUUUAGCAUGAGAAAGAGAGAGGGAAUGGUCAAGAAUUUAGAGCGAGAAAUAAAGAGAGAGGGAAAUAAGAUAAUGGUCGAGAAUUUAGAGAGAGAAAGAAACUGAAGGCAUUCGAGGUCAGAGCCUGGAUUCCUGGUUUCUAAACCGGGAUAUAGGGACCAGGGGAGAGAACUAUUCGAUCUCUGCUGGGUUUUGGAUUUCUGGCAGUUCUUGUAGAAGAAACUACAUCCAUGGCAGCGAAACCGAUCUCUGAUGGAGGACCUUCCUGGUAUGAACUGAAGACGUUGGGUUCAUUGGCGAAGGCUACACUUGCUUAAGGUACCCCAAUACUUAGAUUUUGAAGAUAAUUAUUAGCUGAGGGAUUGGUUUCCCACAAGGUACCAUGUAAAUAUGAUUUUGAGAUUGAACCAUGCGAAAUUUGUCACUAGAAAAAACUUAUAUUCUUUCCACUAUUAUUUCUGUUUAAUUUCUUCUUGUCCUGCUAAACUCGAGAGAAUCCGAGACCAUAGGUCGAGUUCUGAGAAUGAAUGGGAGAAAAUCCUCAAGCCCUUUGGCCUUGAAGAGCUUCGAAAAUCCUUUAAUCGAAUCACUCCACAAAGAUUAUGUAAAUUACUUUUUCUUCCUCUCGACCUAUCUCUCUCUCUUGAAAUCUUCGAAUGGGCAGCCUCUCAAAAGGGCUACUCCCAUACUUAUGAUGUAUAUUAUACACUCAUUGAUAAGCUUGGAACUUUUGGAGAAUUUAAGGCCAUUAAUGAACUUUUGCGACGAAUGAAAGAAGAAAACAUUGUCUUCACAGAACCUAUCUUUAUUUUGAUCAUGAAAUAUUAUGGGAGGCAUAAUCUACCAGGGAAAGCUGCUCGUCUCUUAGAUGAGAUGAAGGGCUCUUUUGGGUGUGAACCCACUUUCAGGUCUUAUAAUGUGGUUUUGGAUAUUUUGGUAUCUCACAAUUGUCAUAAGAUGGCUCCCCCUGUGUUUUUCACGAUGUUGAAUAGAGGGAUUUCACCAACGGUUUAUACAUUUGGGGUUGCUAUGAAAGCGCUUUGUUUGACGAAGCAGGCUGGAAAUGCUUGUGCUUUGCUUAGAGAAAUGACAAAGCACGGUUGCGUGCCCAAUUCUGUGAUUUAUCAGACAUUGAUUCAUGCUUUUGUGAAGGAGGAUAAUGUCAACGACGGUGUGAAGCUUUUAGAUGAGAUGUUAUUAAUGGGUUGUGUGCCUGAUUUGGAGACUUUCAAUGAUGCUGUUGGUGGGCUUUGCAAAAAGGGUCACGUUGUUGAGGCUGUUAAAAUGGUUGACAGAAUGAUAAUCCAUGGGUCCACACCAAAUGCUUUAACUUAUGGGAUUUUGAUACGUGGGUUUUGCAAAAGAGGCAUGGUCGAUGAGGCAAAUGCUCUUUUGAGAGAAUUGUCUGAGCCCAAUGUAAUUAUGUAUAAUACUUUAAUCCAUGGGUACCUCAAAGAAGGAAGAUUUAGUGAGGCCAAGACUUUGAUGCAUGAAAACAUGCUAAAGAAAGGAUGUGAGCCUAAUGUCUAUACGUAUGGUAUCAUGAUGGAUGCUCUUUGCAAGGUGGGCAAUGUGGGGUCGGCGAGAAGAUUACUAGAUGAGAUGUUGAUGAAAGGUUGCAUGCCCAAUGUGGUAAUUUACACUAUCUUGGUAGAUGGGUUAUGUAAAGCAAGGAGAUUAGAGGAAGCGUUUGAGGUCGUAGAGGAAAUGUCAACUCAAGGAAUCAGUUUGAAUGUUGUAUGUUACAAUUGCAUUAUACAUGCUCUUUGCAAGGACCAAAGAAUCAAUCAGGCAAUGCGACUUUUUGAUAGAAUGUCACAAGAAGGUUGCAAACCUGAUAUAUUCACUUUCAAUUCUUUGAUCCAUGGCCUAUGCCAGGAUGAUAGGUUAGAGGAGGCUUUUGAGGUCUGUCGGGACUUGUUAGUACAUGGUUUAAUACCUAGCAACACAACUUACAAUACCCUAAUUGGUGCCCUACUGAGAAGAGGUUCUAUAGAAGAGGCUCAAAACCUUGUGAAUGAAAUGAUAUUCAGAGGAUUUUCCCUUGAUGUUAUCACUUAUAAUUCUUUUAUCAAGGCAUUAUGCAGAGAAGGGGUGAUUGAGAGGGCCUUGGGUUUGUUUGAAGAUAUGGUGAGAAGAGGAGUUGCUCCAAAUAACAUUUCUUAUAACAUUCUGAUAAAUGGCAUAUGUAAAACUGGGAAUAUUCAAUCUGGUCUUGAGCUUCUAAAGGAAAUGCUCCAUCGUGGUUGUAUGCCUGAUGUUGUAACUUAUAAUAGCUUGAUAAAUGGCCUUUGCAAAUCUGGGAGGAUGGGAGAGGCCUUGAAUCUCUUUGAGAGGCUACAAGGCGAAGGAAUAAAACCUGAUACUGUUACAUAUAAUACAUUGAUAAGCUGGCAUUGCAAGGAGGGAAUGCUUAAUGAUGCCAUCUUGCUUCUAUAUAGAGGAAUUGGUAAUCUGUUUGUUCCCAAUGCCGUUACAUGGACCAUAUUAGUGAACAAUGUUUUCCAAAGAAGCAGUAUAUUGGCAUAAAGGCAGAGGAGAGAAUUCCAACUUUUUAUCCACUGGCUCAGUUGCGCCUCUUCCUCUCUCUGUGCCUCUCAGAUGACAACAGAAGGGAAAGCCCUCUCGCUCGCUGUCAUAGAGGAAGAGCUUUGGAUCAAAGCUUGAUAUCAUCCCUUUAGCUGAUUCUGUUACUAAAUUACCAGCUGGCUGUGAGCUCUGUGGCAAGAAGGUUUUUUUCACGCUAUGAAAGACUGGAGAUACACAAAAGGAGCUAAUUGGUGGUGCCGAUAUCUAUAUGCCAGUUUGUGGGCAGCAUUAUGUGAGUGACCAAGUUGUUAUUGAAGCUGCUAGAAAUGUCCUGGAAUCUCAACAGAUUCAAGAGGAUGUUUAUCUAGAGGCAGAUCCACUAUCAAGUCAGCUUGUUCCCUGUUGACUCCAAGUUCCUUGAUUCCUUCCAAAAUAUGGGUUGAAUCUUGUUUUAUUGUCUUGGUGUUUAUAAUUUGGUGAUCAAUAUUGUUUUCCUGUUUUACUUAUUUAGUUUUGUGUGCCCUCAAUGUACAUAAAGUGGGUCUGUUAAAUCCUCGAUUUAUGCUCGAGACUUCGAAUUCAAAUCUGUAGCUCUUUUCUGCUUUAAAUGAGUGUAACUGUGUUGUAACUCAAAAA